rnacentral:rRNA from 1 species
UACGGAGGAUACGAGCGUUAUCCGGAUUUAUUGGGUUUAAAGGGUGCGUAGGCGGAUCGUUAAGUCAGUGGUCAAAUUGAGGGGCUCAACCCCUUCCCGCCAUUGAAACUGGCGCUCUUGAGUGGAAGAGAAGUAUGCGGAAUGCGUGGUGUAGCGGUGAAAUGCAUAGAUAUCACGCAGAACCCCGAUUGCGAAGGCAGCAUGCCGGCUUCCGACUGACGCUGAAGCACGAAAGCGUGGGGAUCGAACAGG